UGGGGAAUAUUGCACAAUGGGCGCAAGCCUGAUGCAGCCAUGCCGCGUGUGUGAAGAAGGCCUUCGGGUUGUAAAGCACUUUCAGCGGGGAGGAAGGCGGUGAGGUUAAUAACCUCAUCGAUUGACGUUACCCGCAGAAGAAGCACCGGCUAACUCCGUGCCAGCAGCCGCGGUAAUACGGAGGGUGCAAGCGUUAAUCGGAAUUACUGGGCGUAAAGCGCACGCAGGCGGUCUGUCAAGUCGGAUGUGAAAUCCCCGGGCUCAACCUGGGAACUGCAUUCGAAACUGGCAGGCUAGAGUCUUGUAGAGGGGGGUAGAAUUCCAGGUGUAGCGGUGAAAUGCGUAGAGAUCUGGAGGAAUACCGGUGGCGAAGGCGGCCCCCUGGACAAAGACUGACGCUUAGGUGCGAAAGCGUGGGGAGCAAACAGG
rnacentral:rRNA from 1 species